UGCCCAGCAAUUCCUAUCCCUACCUCCUCGUGGUACCGGCCGGAAACUACAAGCAACCUUAGGGAAGA
rfam:Aedes albopictus isolate Foshan contig105804, whole genome shotgun sequence.